rnacentral:lncRNA from 1 species
GUUCAUUCUUCUGCUUAUAGCGAUAGAGGUCAUUGUAAUCUAGCAGCCCUUUCACCCUCAGAUUCUUCUUUUUUCAUGGCGGCUGAGCGCAUCGCUUUUAAUCUAGUGUUCCUUUUUUCAUUUCGUCAUAUUUGAGUUUUUUCUAAACUUUCAGAAGACCCUUCGCUUUCUAGAAUUAUCAUUUUUUUUUGUUUUGCUCUCUGAAUUUUCUUCGUAUCUCGUGCCAGGGGUCGUUUUGUUCGAAAUGCGAUUGCCUUUUGGAACAAAACGUCCCCUGGCGGGAAAAGUUUGCGGUCUCUGUUCUCCCAAAAAAAAUUGUCUCAGGGCAUGCGAAUUUCGGAUUUUUCAUGUCAAGGCGAUAACAUUACACGAUUAUGUACAAAAUUUAAACAUAACACAUCACAUUUGAACGAUUUCAAAACACACACACACACACACACACACACACCUACCCUGCUCUAUGAUGGUAGACUACAAAUCGGGUUUCCAUUUAAAUUAAGUUAUAAUUAUACUUUCAUUAAAUAUAUAUAUUGUUG